rnacentral:pre_miRNA from 1 species
CGGGGGAGGCCGGAUCCUGGGCUGUGUCCCGUUGCCCUGUGCUUGGGGCCUGCGCUGUUGGAUUCGCGCUCCCGCCCCGCAGCCCCCU